GAUGAACGCUGGCGGCGUGCUUAACACAUGCAAGUCGAACGGAAAGGCCCAAGCUUGCUUGGGUACUCGAGUGGCGAACGGGUGAGUAACACGUGGGUGAUCUGCCCUGCACUUCGGGAUAAGCCUGGGAAACUGGGUCUAAUACCGGAUAGGACCACAUUUUGGAUGGUGUGGUGGAAAGUUUUUCGGUGUGGGAUGAGCUCGCGGCCUAUCAGCUUGUUGGUGGGGUAAUGGCCUACCAAGGCGUCGACGGGUAGCCGGCCUGAGAGGGUGUACGGCCACAUUGGGACUGAGAGACGGCCCAGACUCCUACGGGAGGCAGCAGUGGGGAAUAUUGCACAAUGGGCGCAAGCCUGAUGCAGCGACGCCGCGGGGGGGAUGACGGCCUUCGGGUUGUAAACGCCUUUCGCUAGGGACGAAGCGUUAUGUGACGGUACCUGGAGAAGAAGCACCGGCUAACUACGUG
rnacentral:rRNA from 1 species